rnacentral:siRNA from 1 species
GAAAUAUCACUCAUGUACAUGG